CCUGAACGCUGGCGGCGUGGCUAAGACAUGCAAGUCGUACGGGUGCAGCAAUGCACCAGUGGCGGACGGGUGAGUAAUGAAUCGCUAAUGUACCCCGGACUCUGGGAUAGCCGGCCGAAAGGCCGGGUAAUACCAGAUGAUGUGGCGACAGGGCAUCCUGUUGACCCCAAAGGGAAACCGGUCUGGGCGCAGGCGAUUUCGUAUCAGGUAGUUGGUGCGGGUAACGGCCCACCAAGCCGACGACGCGUAGCUGGUCUGAGAGGACGGCCAGCCACAUUGGGACUGAGACACUGCCCAGACUCCGUACGGGGGGCUNCAGUAACGAAUCUUCCGCAAUGCACGCAAGUGUGACGGAGCGACGCCGCGU
rnacentral:rRNA from 1 species